AAAAGUGACUAAAAAUUUUCUUUUUAAAUUGGUUGAAUGAGUCGUGAAAAAUGUCUAUGUCAGCUAAAUCAUUAUUAACAAUAUUAUAUUCGUUACUCAUUCUAAGGAUUGGUGCGUUAAGACCUAGAUUAGUUUUGCAAGGAGGACCGCGUAGGAUCUUACUUAUCGGUCGUCGAGGCAGGUGAUACGGUACAAACACUGAAAAAUAUUCUAAAAGUUCGCAGCAACCUAUAUGGCCAUUUACUAUUUUGUGAAGUAAUAGAAUACCAUGCACUAUUCUUCUAGUCCUAAGGCAAGCCAUAUCAAAGAAGGCAAGGCGAUAAGAAUAAGGGGCCCUAUGUGAAAUGCCGCUGCAAGUAAAGGCCAGGUGUCUAGUAAAAGACCUUUGUAUCCCCUCAAUUCUUUGCGAAAGAAUAGUGGUUUUAGGGUUCCAAACAGUACUAGCAUAUUCAAGAUGGCUUCUUACUAAUGUGUUGUAUAGACAAAUUUUUGUGCUUAUAGAAAACCCCUUGCUGUUGCGCUUUACAAAUCCUAGAGCUUGCGACGCCUUUUUGACGACAUUGUCGACGUGAGUGUUAAAACUGAGAUAUGAAGCAAACCAGGUGAGAAGUGUACCAAAUAUACCACACGCCUCUAAUUUAGACAACAGCAAGACGUGAUCUACCUUAUCAAACGCUGAGGAAAAGUCGGUAUAAAUAGCAUCGACCUGUGAGCCUGAAUCAACUACACUAGCGAUGUGUGAAGUAUAAGCGAGGAGAUUGGUCUCAGUUGAUCGGUUUUUCCUAAAACCAUGUUGGAAGUCAUUAAGAAUGGGUUCGAUGUGAAGUGAAAACGUUUGAUAAAUUAUGCAUUCAAAGAGCUUGGAGAAACACGGGAAUCGGUCGCUGCGCGAGAUCAGUACUAGGGACGUACACAGAGGAAAAAUGAGAUGCGAAUAAAUUAGCAAUUUCGGGACCAGAGUUAGCGCAUUUUUGACCGAGAAACAUUUGAGCAGGUAUAUUCGAUUUACCCUUCCUUUUGGCCUUAACAUAGCUCCAGAAGGCCUUUGGAUUGUUUUGUAUGUUAAGAUCUAAUUUGUACUUGUAAUCCAUGUAACAUUUGUUUAAAAGUUUAUGACAACGGUUUCUUAUAAUGUCAAAUUCAAUCUUAUCUCUGGGAUUGUUGUAUCUUAAG